CCUUGGCCUCAGUUCCUGCCCUGCCAGGCCUCACCUCCUUGUGCCUCUUUUCCAGCUCCCUGGGCCAAGAGGAAGUGGAAGAUCUGGCUCUGAAGCCCCGGAGGUGGUACUCCCUGGUUCCAGAGUAGGUAAGGCCUAGAGUUCCCUCUAGCAAGGCCUGGGACGACCACCAAGGAUACAUCACCCAAUGCCUUCUUCAGGACGUGGAGAGGGGCCUCCUGCAGAGACCUUCCAGGUGGCAGGCAAGAGCAACGCGAAUCAUCGGAGGGAUCAUCAGCCACAUCAGAGACAGCACUCGCCUGGAGGUAUGGUUCCUGGAGUUUCUGCUCGCCUUGGUGACCAACUUCAUCAAGGUCACAAGGCCUGGGUUGAAGGUGCCCACAAGGAACUGGAGCAGCAGCUAAGUUCCUCCAGAGAAAGGAGAGGAUGGGGAGGAAGAGACAGUGGGACUCUCGGCCCUUUUGGGGGGCCAGAUGGUUGACUCAAAGUCUACUCUGAGAAGUAAGCCUUUUUUAAUUUUUCUGCAGAGAACUGGCAAAGAUCAUCUUGAUGCUAGUGACUUGCAUGUCCUUCAACCAGACCUCCAAGAAGAUGCUAGAAGAUCCCACAAUAUGCCCUGAGGGAAUGGCCUACAAGUUGUAGUAAGAAGCCAAGGAAUGCAGGAGGUUCAGGGACAAGGUCCAGCUUGGUCUCUCUGGCUGGGAUCCCUCAUGGGGCCUCGG
rnacentral:lncRNA from 1 species